UACGUAGGUGGCAAGCGUUGUCCGGAGUUAUUGGGCGUAAAGCGCGCGCAGGCGGUGCGGUAAGUCUCUGGUGAAAGCGCUCGGCUUAACUGGGCGAGGGCCGGGGAGACUGCCACGCUGGAGGGGAGCAGAGGCGAGUGGAAUUCCGGGUGUAGUGGUGAAAUGCGCAGAUAUCGGGAGGAACACCGGUGGCGAAGGCGGUUCUCUGGGCCUGUACUGACGCUGAGGAGCGAAAGCGUGGGGAGCGAACAGG
rnacentral:rRNA from 1 species